UACGAAGGGGGCUAGCGUUGUUCGGAAUUACUGGGCGUAAAGCGUAUGCAGGCGGACUUUUAAGUCGGGGGUGAAAUCCCGAGGCUCAACCUCGGAACUGCCUUCGAUACUGGAAGUCUUGAGUCCGGGAGAGGUGAGUGGAACUCCGAGUGUAGAGGUGAAAAUUCGUAGAUAUUCGGAAGAACACCAGUGGCGAAGGCGGCUCACUGGCCCGGUACUGACGCUGAGAUACG
rnacentral:rRNA from 1 species